AGGACGAACGCUGGCGGCGUGCUUAACACAUGCAAGUCACGGGGGGUAGCAAUACCAACCGGCGAACGGGUGCGUAACACGUGAGCAACCUACCGAUUUGUGGGGGAUAGCCGGCCUAACGGCCGGGUAAUACCGCAUACGCUUGUAAGGCCUCCUGGUCUAACAAGGAAACCUCCGGGGCAAAUCGAGGGGCUCGCGGCCUAUCAGCUAGUUGGCGAGGUCACGGCUCACCAAGGCGACGACGGGUAGCUGGUCUGAGAGGAUGGCCAGCCACAUUGGGACUGAGAAACGGCCCAGACUCCUACGGGAGGCAGCAGUGGGAAUCUUGCGCAAUGGACGAAAGUCUGACGCAGCGACGCGCGUGGGGGAUGGAAGGCUUUCGGGUUGUAAACCCCGUGUUCGCCCGGGACGAACUUCGUCUAUUCGUAGAGAUUGACGGUACCGGUGAGGAGCGACCGGCUAACUC
rnacentral:rRNA from 1 species